rnacentral:rRNA from 1 species
AGUGAACGCUGGCGGUAGGCCUAACACAUGCAAGUCGAACGGCAGCACAGUAAGAGCUUGCUCUUACGGGUGGCGAGUGGCGGACGGGUGAGGAAUACAUCGGAAUCUACUUUUUCGUGGGGGAUAACGUAGGGAAACUUACGCUAAUACCGCAUACGACCUACGGGUGAAAGCAGGGGAUCUUCGGACCUUGCGCGACUGAAUGAGCCGAUGUCGGAUUAGCUAGUUGGCGGGGUAAAGGCCCACCAAGGCGACGAUCCGUAGCUGGUCUGAGAGGAUGAUCAGCCACACUGGAACUGCGGCACGGUCCAGACUCCUACGGGAGGCAGCAGUGGGGAAUAUUGGACAAUGGGCGCAAGCCUGAUCCAGCCAUACCGCGUGGGUGAAGAAGGCCUUCGGGUUGUAAAGCCCUUUUGUUGGGGAAGAAAAGCAGCAGGUUAAUACCCCGCUGUUCUGACGGUACCCAAAGAAUAAGCACCGGCUAACUUCGUG